rnacentral:lncRNA from 1 species
UAUAAGCCAUCUGUUGAUUCCAAACACGACAUUGAAUCGGGGAGCGAGAUGGGAGGCAAAUUGGUACAUUUCGAUGGGCCAUUCAUCUUCACAGCGGACGAUUUGCUCUGUGCAACUGCUGAGAUCAUGGGGAAGAGCGCGUACGGAACUGCAUACAAAGCAACAUUGGAAGACGGCAAUCAAAUCGCAGUUAAGAGAUUGAGAGAGAAGUCAACAAAAGGUCGUAGAGAAUUCGAAGUCGAAGCUGCUUCGAUCGGGAAGAUUCGUCACCCCAAUCUGCUACCUCUAAGAGCUUAUUACAUUGGUCCUAAAGGAGAAAAGCUUCUGGCAUUCGAUUACUUGACUAGAGGGAGCCUCUCAUCCUACCUCCAUGGUAAUAAAAACUUAAACAAGUCUAUGUAUAAAAUGCAUGAUUCAAUAGACUAGCUUAAUUUGAGCAUAUUUCAUUUCAAUUGCAGCUCGUGGACCAGAGACGAUCAUCGACUGGCCAACAAGGAUGAACAUAGCAAUGGGGAUCGCACGAGGUCUGAACCAUCUCCACACAAAGGAAAACAUAAUCCACGGAAAUCUCACCUCAAGCAACGUGCUCCUCGACGAGAAGACGAACGCACACAUCGCCGACUUCGGGAUCCCACGGCUGAUGACAGACGCCGCCGCCGCGACAAACGUGAUUUCCACCGCAGGAACACUAGGUUACCGAGCGCCCGAGCUCUCAACGAAGGUGAAAAACGCCGCCGGCACGAAGAGUGACAUUUACAGCCUGGGAGUGAUCAUUCUGGAGCUGCUGACGGGGAAAUCCCCCGGGGAGACGAACAACGGGAUGGCUCUGCCGCAGUGGGUGGCUUCGAUCGUGAAGGAGGAGUGGACGAAUGAAGUUUUCGAUUUGGAGAUAUCCAAGGACUCGUCGACAGCUACUGGCGAUGAGCUCCUGAACGCUCUUAAGCUGGCUUUGCAUUGCGUUGAUCCGAAGCCAUCGGCGAGGCCGGAAGCUGG